rnacentral:rRNA from 1 species
GACGAACGCUGGCGGCGUGCUUAACACAUGCAAGUCGAACGGGCCCGCCCCUGUUUUUGGGGGUGGGUUGAGUGGCGAACGGGUGAGUAUCACGUGAGUAACCUGCCCCCUGCUCCUGGAUAACUGCUUGAAAGGGCGGCUAAUACGGGGUGUGCCGGCUGGUCCGCAUGGGCCUGGUCGGGAUAGUUUCAUCUUCGGGUGUUUCGGUGGGGGAUGGGCUCGCGGCCUAUCAGCUUGUUGGUGGGGUGAUGGCACACCAAGGCGGUGACGGGUAGCCAGCCUGAGAGGGUGGGCGGCCACACUGGGACUGAGACACGGCCCAGCCUCCUGCGGGAGGCAGCAGGGGGGGGUAUUGCACAAUGGGCGGAAGGCUGAUGCAGCGACGUCGCGUGAGGGAUGGAGGCCGUCGGGUUGUGAACCUCUUUCUCCGGGGGUGAAGGCCCUGUCCGUUGCGGCGGGGUUGACGGUAGCCGGGGAUGAAGCGCCGGCUAACUACGUG